rnacentral:rRNA from 1 species
UACGUAGGGGGCAAGCGUUGUCCGGAAUCAUUGGGCGUAAAGAGCGUGUAGGCGGCCAGAAAAGUCCGCUGUGAAAACUCGAGGCUCAACCGCGGAUUGUCGUUGGAAACUGCCUCGCUAGAGUCCGGAAGAGGAGAGCGGAAUUCCUGGUGUAGCGGUGGAAUGCGCAGAUAUCAGGAAGAACACCCGUGGCGAAGGCGGCUCGCUGGGACGUGACUGACGCUGAGACGCGAAAGCGUGGGGAGCAAACAGG